AGUCGAGGGGCAGCAUGGACUCAGCUUUGCUGGGUUUGAUGGCGACCGGCGCACGGGUGAGUAACGCGUAUCCAACCUGCCCUUUACUCCGGGAUAGUCUCCUGAAAGGGAGUUUAAUACCGGAUGUGUUUGUCUUUCCGCAUGGGAGCGACAAAUAAAGAUUAAUUGGUAAAGGAUGGGGAUGCGUCCCAUUAGCUUGUUGGCGGGGUAACGGCCCACCAAGGCAACGAUGGGUAGGGGUUCUGAGAGGAAGGUCCCCCACAUUGGAACUGAGACACGGUCCAAACUCCUACGGGAGGCAGCAGUGAGGAAUAUUGGUCAAUGGGCGUAAGCCUGAACCAGCCAAGUAGCGUGAAGGACGACGGCCCUACGGGUUGUAAACUUCUUUUAUAAGGGAAUAAAGUUCGCCACGUGUGGUGUUUUGUAUGUACCUUAUGAAUAAGCAUCGGCUAAUUCCGUGCCAGCAGCCGCGGUAAUACGGAAGAUGCGAGCGUUAUCCGGAUUUAUUGGGUUUAAAGGGAGCGUAGGCGGGCUUUUAAGUCAGCGGUCAAAUGUCACGGCUCAACCGUGGCCAGCCGUUGAGACUGUAAGCCUUGAGUCUGCACAGGGCACAUGGAAUUCGUGGUGUAGCGGUGAAAUGCUUAGAUAUCACGAAGAACUCCGAUUGCGAAGGCAGCUCACUGGAGCGCAACUGACGCUGAAGCUCGAAAGUGCGGGUAUCGAACAGGAUUAGAUACCCUGGUAGUCCGCACGGUAAACGAUGGAUGCCCGCUGUUGGUCUGAAUAG
rnacentral:rRNA from 1 species